ensembl:lncRNA
AAAACAUGUAGGUCCACUCCUCAUAUAAAGAAAUUGACAGUAAGUUGACUAACUGUUCAAGACCUCUCCCCUUCACUUCACUCUGACUUUGAAUGGCCCCACAAACCGCAGGCCCAGCUUCCGGCAGGGCAGGUUUCGGGUCGAGAGCCAGACCUCGUCUCCCAGUGCAAACACCGGGGCCUCACUGUGGUGACAGUCUGCGCCCACUUUCUGGUGCAGCAAGGCACGCUGAAGGUGGACAUUGGCGGCUUCCCAUGUUUCCUCUGCGCGCAGGAACCAGUCGUCCACCUCAGGAGCCUCGUUCUGGCUCUGAUGCCAAGGUGCCAGAACCGGUUGAUAGCCCAGUAUGCACUGGAAGCGGGAGACGUUAGUGGAGGAGUGUCGGAGCGAGUUCUGGGCCAUCUCUGCCCAGGGCACGAAUGCUGCCCACACCCCUGGCCGGUCCUGGCAAUAGGACCUCAGAAACCUACUAGCAUCAUGGUUUACUCUCUCCACCUGCCCGUUACUCUUGGGAAGAAAACUUGAGCACAGACUACUCAGUAAAUAUACCACUUUAUGGUUAAAGGAAAUCCUGCCUCAGUCUCAUCCAUUCCUCUGUCACCUGACAUGUGACCACCUGUUCACCUUCACUGUCAGUCAUCCUACCUGUCCAGCUACCCACACAGAUUUCACUUAUCUUUCAAUGGUCCUUCGAGCCGGAUGUUGACUGAACCAAAGACAGGUGAAAAGGAAAUGGAGGCGGAGAGGGAAGAAUUGUCUCCACUGGAAGAAAGAAGAGAGGAGGAGAGAACAGCAUGAGGGUAAGGUCUUGGAACAAAAUAAAUAUCCAGGAGCUAAGCCUAAAGCAACAAAGGCUUCAUCCUCAACCACCAGCAGCACCAGAAGAACCAGGCAAGCACCUGGUUAUCUUAAGGAUUAUGUGGUCAAGUUUCCGACUUCAAAGGGCAAGCCCACCAGAGCUCAAAGUGGUGAUGGAUCAACUGUACGUUUCAGCCAUCAACCAUCCCCUUUGAGCCAAGGACCGGAAACUGCUUUGGAGCAGGAAAGUGGACUACAGGAAGAACCCAUGAAGGUGACUCCCACAGCACAGGUCAACCAGCUUCCUGAAGCAGGCUCCGCUCACCCCUUAACUAAUGGGAAAUCGUCGAAGCACUCUAGACGGAGUGGGAGUUCGACCAGUGGGUACCCCUUUGGAAGUGGUCAUGGCAGCCGCCAUUCACUAGCCCUCAGCGAUUCACCGACCACUGUUCUACAAGAGAGGAUGAAACUAUUAGCUUUGGAGGAAAUUGAGCGUCAUAUUGAGGAGGAACGACAGGCUGACGAAGGAUGUCACCAAUUGGAUGUGCAGGCCCGUAGAGCUCUACAGGAACGGGAAUUCAUUGCCAAGGACCUGGCACAGCAGCGACGGCACCGUCAAGCCAGAAGGGAAUUGGAGGAGGCACGGAUGGUCUCAUCCUUCCUGGAGAGGAACGAACAGGGAGUUGACCUGACCACCCCUCUACAUGGACCUGACCUGUCUACCUUUCUUUCCCAAUCUGCCCCUCUGGUACCGCAUGGCACACAGUCCCCGGAGGCUCCGGGGUCAACAGCUAACAUGGAGCAUGGGGACAGUCUGCUCCACCAUCGCCCUCUAUGCCAGUGACACAAGUUAGCAUUCCUCCAUCUGGACAAAUCAUUACUCCUUCGCCUUUCCGGCAAAUUGUUCCUCUCGUACAGGGCCAGGCCAGUCCUCAAAUAUCAGAUGGGAGGGCUCUCACCCAAUUCCAGCUGCCACCAUUGGAGGGUCUGGGACAGUAGGGGACCGGCCCAAUGAGGCCACAGUGGGCUCAUCAGAAGUCCCGGAUUUCUCCUUCACGCACUCAGAAGAGGGAGCGAACAUUAUGAAUCUUCUAGUAGCCUCAGCCUAUGGAAUUCCCAGACCCAAACUGCCAUACUUUGAGAGAGGAAAGGAAUUGAAUUUGUCCUUUUGGAAAUGGCAUUGGAGAGCCUACUGGGUAUUCUCAGUCAUCUGUCAGAACGCUACAAAUACCAAGUACUAAUGGACCAUUUGCGGUUUCCCAGUGCAUAUAGGCUGGCCCAAUCCUUUAUGCACUCCGCUACACCAUACACUGCUGCUCUCCAGGUCCCGAAGCCCAGAUAUGGUGAGCCACACCAGCUAGUCCAGAAUGAACUAAACAACAUCCUGAACACGUCUCCAAUUAAAAUGGGAGACCAUGCUGCCUUCCAAGAGUUCUCCCUGGCUGUCCAAUCCCUGACCUCAAUGCUCCAAUCCGUUGAAGGAGAAGACGGGAACGAGCUGAAAUGUGGCUCCCACGUGGACAGGCUUCUUAGCAAAUUUCCAGUGUACCUCAAAGACAGUUUAAUGGAAAAUUGUUUGAACAAGGGCAUCCUGAGAGAGGGCUCGAGAAGCACCUAUGCUCUCAGAGACCUUGCCGCAUUGUUGGAGGUGAAGGCAAAGGUGAAGAGCAUCGCUCACCAGGCCACAAUCUCAGCCAUAGCCACUGGGGAAGGAAGGAGUUUUUAAAAAAAAAAAAAUUUUUAUUUUUUUAUUUCACCUUUAUUUAACCAGGUAGGCCAGUUGAGAACAAGUUCUCAUUUGCAACUGCG